rnacentral:rRNA from 1 species
CAGACGGCUCAGUAACACGUAGUCAACCUAACCUGUGGACGUGGAUAAUCUCGGGAAACUGAGGAUAAACCACGAUAGAUAACGGUGCCUGGAAUGGCCCAUUGUCCAAACAGUUUACUGCCACGGGAUGGGACUGCGGCCUAUCAGCUUGUUGGUGAGGUAAUGGCCCACCAAGGCUAUAACAGGUACGGGCUCUGAGAGGAGAAGCCCGGAGAUGGGUACUGAGACACGGACCCAGGCCCUAUGGGGCGCAGCAGGCGAGAAACCUUAGCAAUGUGCGAAAGCACGACUGGGUCAGUCCGAGUGAUUUCUGAUAAAGGAAUCUUUUGCCCGUCCUAAAAGCACGGGCGAAUAAGGGGUGGGCAAGUCUGGUGUCAGCCGCCGCGGUAAUACCAGCACCUCGAGUGGUCAGGACGAUUAUUGGGCCUAAAGCAUCCGUAGCUGGUCUUGCAAGUCUCCGGUUAAAUCCACCUGCUCAACAGAUGGGCCGCUGGAGAUACUACAAGACUAGGGAGUGGGAGAGGCAGACGGUACUCGGGGGGUAGGGGGUAAAAUCCUCUGAUCCUUUGAAGACCACCAGUGGCGAAGGCGGUCUGCCAGAACACGUUCGACAGUGAGGGAUGAAAGCUGGGGGAGCAAACC